GUGGGGAAUAUUGGACAAUGGGCGAAAGCCUGAUCCAGCCAUGCCGCGUGUGUGAAGAAGGUCUUCGGAUUGUAAAGCACUUUAAGUUGGGAGGAAGGGCAUUAACCUAAUACGUUAGUGUUUUGACGUUACCAACAGAAUAAGCACCGGCUAACUUCGUGCCAGCAGCCGCGGUAAUACGAAGGGUGCAAGCGUUAAUCGGAAUUACUGGGCGUAAAGCGCGCGUAGGUGGUUCAGCAAGUUGAAGGUGAAAUCCCCGGGCUCAACCUGGGAACUGCCUCCAAAACUACUGAGCUAGAGUACGGUAGAGGGUAGUGGAAUUUCCUGUGUAGCGGUGAAAUGCGUAGAUAUAGGAAGGAACACCAGUGGCGAAGGCGACUACCUGGACUGAUACUGACACUGAGGUGCGAAAGCGUGGGGAGCAAACAGGAUUAGAUACCCGAGUAGUCC
rnacentral:rRNA from 1 species